CAACCAACAGAGACUAUAUAGAGCAGGGGAAUAUAUGCUGGUGGGAGCAGAUCAUGCCUGUGUAGGAGAAAGGAGGUUAGAUACCUUACAUCUAUCCCCCUUUCUAGCUCUAUUCCCAGCCAAAAGAUACUAGGUAACCGUAUCAGCCAUCCCCCGGGCCACAUGGUACUGUUGGCAAAUGCCAGCACAAAAUAGUCUGAAGAGGUUGCCAAAAGAUAAAUGACUGGCAAUAUACUUAUUAUUAAUCACAAAUGAAGUUUGGGAAGCCAGGAAAGACUUCUAUAAAAAAAGUAUUUCACUUACACUAGAAAUACACUAUAAGCAUUACUGGAUCCUGCCUCCUCCUUGCCUGAUUUGAAGCAUCAUGAAUAUAGCCAGUGGUUCCCUUGCCUGUAACUGGUAUGGCGCAUGGAGAACUGAGGUUACUGUUAUAUGAUGAACUGAAUUCUGCAGAAACAAGGUUCUGGGUUGAAUAUUAUUUUUAUGGGGUCCCCAAAAUUUACAGACGAAGCCAGCUUUUUAGUUCCUCAGAACUCUUUCCUCCAGCAAAGGUGGUAUAAAUUUUGGAGGUAAAGGAGGAAGCAGACAAUCCAGAAAACUGAGCCAUGUGUGCUACUUAUUGUUCCUGAACGUAGACGGCAGGCAAAACAAAUCUCUGUUCUGUGUGGAAAGGCUGCCUAGGUAGCACUAACACAAGCACUAAAUGAAAGGUCAUCUCAAAAAGGACUCAAAAACUGGGAACGAUUUUAUAGCUGGACUCGAAAUGCAGAUUGGAAGAAGAAUGUGAAGAUCCAACUAGGGAAUGGAGAGAUUAAUAACUAUAACAAUUCUGCCACAGAAAAUCUGUUUAAGGAAGUCAAAAUGGAGCACCCUCACAAUCACUUCUGAUUAGCACGAGAUGUUGCCUGUGGUCUGAAAGCCCCACUAGACCCAGCCUUCAAAAGAUGUAGCUCAAGACUUCCCAGUGGCUCUGAGAUACAAAUAAAGAUAUGCACAGUGAAA